UACAGAGGUCUCAAGCGUUGUUCGGAUUCAUUGGGCGUAAAGGGUGUGUAGGUGGCGCGCUAAGUCGGGUGUGAAAUUUCGGAGCUUAACUCCGAAACUGCAUUCGAUACUGGCGUGCUUGAGGACUGGAGAGGAGACUGGAAUUCAUGGUGUAGCAGUGAAAUGCGUAGAGAUCAUGAGGAAGACCAGUGGCGAAGGCGGUUCUCUGGACAGUUCCUGACACUGAGACACGAAGGCCAGGGGAGCAAACAGG
rnacentral:rRNA from 1 species